GCUGCCGUAGACCGUGGUGGUCGCCCUCACCCGAUGUAUAUUCUUGACGUUUGUGAAUCGAGAGGGAGGCGGAGGUUCGAAUCCCCCCGGUGGCA